rnacentral:tRNA from 1 species
GCCUGGCUGGCUCAAUUGGUAGAGCAUGUGACUCUUGAUCUUGGGGUUGUGAGUUCGAGCCCCAUGUUGGGCA